CUAUCUCUCGCUCUCUGGUUUAGGUAGCUGUAUAUGUUCUGAUUUGUUCUGUGUGCAGAUCUUGCAAGCGAUGCUCGUCUCUGUGAUUUGCUUGUCAAGAAAUUAUGCAUAGAUUACUUUACUGCUGCUUUCGGCUAGCUUGCCGUUGUGGCAGAAUAUCAGUUUCCCCUUUGCACAUCCGCUCCUGCAGGUUUAGUACUACAGGUCUAUUCAUUUAGGUGUUUCAGCUUGCACGUUAUGUCCAGAUCCAGAGCUUACAGGUCUAUCAAUUUAGAUGUUUCAGCUUGCCCGUUAUGUCCAGAUCCAGAACUUAAAAGUAGCAUUUUCACAUCCAAGAUCUAGUAGGUAAAUCUUUUAAGUUCAAGUUCAGAAUUAAAGACAGAUAUACGGCUGCUAUGAUGCAGGUUGUCCAUGCUAACAGUGGCGGAUCUGAAAGAAAUCUUAGGAGGGGUGAAGGUAAAACAAAAAAUCAAAUACAAAAUCAUAUGGCUAUAAGGGAUGCAAGUGGACGGCAUCUGCAUGUCCGCGAAGAAAAAAUUGCAUUAAUCUUUGUUAGUUUAACAACCGUGUUAGAUUAUUUUUUCUGUUCGCGGUCACUCACAGAUAUGCGGACGCCAUCCACUUAAACAAGUUAGAUUUUGCAUAAUAUUGAGAACAUAGAUAAUUACAUUGAUCUUAUCCACAUUAGCUUACAAAGUACAUUUCUAACAUUAAUUAUAUAUAAGCUACUUGGUAACAAAUGAAACUGAACCAAAAUACUAAAUAAAUAUGUAGUAUUGAGUUAAUCACUAAGGAUCAACUCUUUCUUUCUUCCCGCCCCUAAAUUGCAUAAGAAAUUCUUGACUGUGAUUUUACUCUUUGUGCUUAACAUAAGCUACUGGAUAAAAAAUCAUCUUCCAACAUACUUCCUCCGUUUCUAAAUAUUUGUCUUUUUAGAGAUUUCAAAUGGACUAUCACAUACGGAUGUAUAUAGACAUAUUUUAGAGUGUAGAUUCACUCAUUUUGCUCCGUAUGUAGUCACUUGUUGAAAUCUCUAGAAAGACAAAUAUUUAGGAACGGAGGGAGUAUUACGUUGCAUUGUCUUAAUAAUCUUCGAAGUAGAAAAUACACGCUUGGCACUUGUCCUAGAAAAUAUAAAAUCAAUGGUCUUUCUUUUAACCAUUAUGUCUCUAAACAACAAUUUUUAAUUAGAACUCCAACAAGUUAAGAUGAAACAUGAAAGGAUCUACACUGAAAAAGCAUAAUCAAAAGAGUUGUAAUUCCCAGUGGGGAGAGUGAGGCUAGACUGCUCUUGUUGCUCAUAGCAUCACUUGUACAUGACACCGGCAGUGGCCUGAUGCGUAAGCAUGGCCGCGACUAGACGAGCCCAGGAGCUCUAACCACCAGCCUCUGGCAUCUGGCCCCAACACCAGCAAGCUCCAGUGGCAUGUGUCCUGGCUCCCCGACCCCAUGCUCAUGCGUCACCGGUAGCAAAGUCCGCGCUAGACAAAAGAGUAGAAGACGCGCUACAGUAUUGGGUCGCUGCUUGUUUGUCUCCUAUGCAGAGCGUGAGAAGGAUGUGAUAACUGUGCCUUAUGAGUUGCAGUGUGCAGUACUACUACCUGGUACUAAUUUUUUUCCUUUUUGCUGGGAGGCAACUGCCCAGGUUCGCCCCUGUGAAGCUCUGUCGUUGCAUGCUAGUACUCUGGAUACUAUGUCAACUAGAUUGUUGAUUGUUUGUGUGGGCAAAGCAACCAAAGUUGUUGAUCGGUACCGAGGAAUGUUUAAAGGCUACAUUGGUGUUUCUAGUAUGGAGAAGCAACUUCAACUUGGGAUACAGAUUCACCAGCAUAUGUACAUGCAUCUCAUAGAGGGAGAGCUCUUGCAUGGAUGUAAGACCAUUUUGCUUCAGUCAGUUAUAGAUUUUAGAGUGAUGAUUUGCUUAAAUUCGUUUCCAUUCAUAAAAUCAACAUCCAAUGAAAUAUGAGCAAAUUAUUUACCUCUAUUAUUGUAAUUCAGAGCUAUGACAACCAUAUCAAUAGAUUUAGUAUAUUUUGAUCGAUUAGUUUCUUCUGCUAUUUUCUGCGGCUCAAAUUCAGCUGAAGCUUUACAGAACUAGGGGAACACUAAUCCAUAGAGCUAUCCUUUCCUUUGCUUCGUUUUUCCUGUAGAACAGAGUAAGCAUGAUCUGAGUAGUGUGUACACAACACAUCGCUUAACUGGCCAUGUACGUAAUAUAAUCUAUUUGAGACACGGCUAACAAGUUGAUUUACAUGAGCAUGCACAUGUAUGUUUUCACAACCGGGACCAUGUCUUGCAGAUCCUUGAAAAGAGCCAAGAACCACUAAAUUUGUGUGCUUAGCAACAUGCAGAUCAUGUAAGUUUUCUGAAAUUAACUUCGGAUUAUACAAACUUUGUAUGUUCCUGCAAUUCUGAUGUUCAAAUGCCUGCUUUUGCGAUGAGCUUUAUGUGUGGUGGUAUGUAUGGUUCUGCUGCUUCAGUGCGAAGCAUGAUCAUAUUAUUGCCAGGGCUAUGUGUGCUGUGGGGAGGGAUUGCAUUCUCUUGUCCUGUCCAUAUUGUGCACAUUAUAAUUAUGCUUCCAAAAUUCUACUAGAAUACUCGAGCCUUAUAACCAUGUGCUAAACUGCUUGUCAUCAUAAUUUCAGGACCAUAAUGUCACUCUGGAUGCUUCUCCACAAGAUUUGAUUCUGGAGCCUAACGCUGGUGUUGCAGGGAUGUUUGGAUUUUUAUUGAUAAUGCAUCUGGAACUACCUCAGCUUGUCACUCCUUGGAAGCCAACCUCUUGAUAGUUAAUGAUGUCGGGUGCAUGUACAGAUAGCAUGUUGUAACAAGUUUAUUUGAUACUCGGCGUGACCAACAAAUGCUUGUACAUGUUGGUCACGGUGUUCUACUUGCAAUGACUAACUUGUCAUAGCUUAUUUUUUGAAUUUGGCCUUUAGUUGACUACAUAUCUGAUGUAUGCGUUCAUUGAUUAUGAAUCUGAUGUGGUGCAUAAUGAAUUUUGGAUGUGAUUUACAAAUUUGAAAUUUCGCUAUGAUUUAAUUUUUUGAAUUA